rnacentral:lncRNA from 1 species
UUCUUCUUCUUUGAUCCCGAUUCUUCGAUCAAGAAUUGGUCGGGAUCUAACGAUUGAUGAUAAGCAAUGCGGUGUUCCUCCCUUCUAGCUUAUUUUAGCACCGGAAAUCUCCAUAUCCGCUCAUUCUCCACUCAAGAGUACUUGGAGGGGGAGGAGGGAGCUUUGCCAAGGAUAGACAGGGAGGAGGGGCUACCAUGGGGCCC